rnacentral:rRNA from 1 species
CGGUCUUUCGGCCGUCCGAGUUGUAAUCUAGAGAAGCGUCUUCCGCGCUGGACCGUGUAUAAGUCUCCUGGAAGGGAGCGUCGUAGAGGGUGAGAAUCCCGUCUUUGACACGGACUGCCAGUGCUAUGUGAUGCGCUCUCGACGAGUCGAGUUGUUUGGGAAUGCAGCUCAAACUGGGUGGUAAAUUCCAUCUAAAGCUAAAUAUAGGCGAGAGACCGAUAGCGAACAAGUACCGUGAGGGAAAGAUGAAAAGAACUUUGGAAAGAGAGUUAAACCGUACGUGAAAUUGCUGAAAGGGAAACGCUUGAUGUCAGUCGCGUCGGCCGGGGAUCAACCUCGCUUCGUUGCUUGGUGUAUUUCCUGGUCGACGGGUCAGCAUCAGUUUCGAUCGCCGUACAAGGGCGGAGGGAACGUGGCACUCUUCGGAGUGUGUUAUAGCCUUUCGUCGCAUGCGGUGACUGGGACUGAGGAACUCAGCACGACCCCUCCGAGGGUUCGGGGCUUCGGCCUACGUAUCGUGCUUAGGAUGCUGGCAUAAUGGCC